rnacentral:misc_RNA from 1 species
AUUCAUCGCACUAAUCGUGAAUCGCAGUUGAGUACAAGAUACUUUCUUUCGUUCCACAAAAGAAUAAAUAAAACAAAACAGACCUCAGAGUAGCCAUAUGAAUAUGACGAUGAUGAUGAACUCACAAAAUUUUCCUUAAACUAGAAUUUACAGCAAAAAAAAAUACAAAGAGAAUAACUUCAAUUUCCCUCAUAACUUGCACAUCA